GACGAGGGGUCCAAGCGUUGUUCGGAAUUAUUGGGCGUAAAGAGCUCGUAGGCGGCUUGUCGCGUCGAAUGUGAAAACCUGCAGCUCAACUGCAGGCUUGCAUUCGAUACGGGGCAGGCUCGAGUUCGGGUAGGGGAGACUGGAAUUCCUGGUGUAGCGGUGAAAUGCGUAGAUAUCGGGAGGAACACCUGUGGCGAAGGCGGCCCCCUGGGCCGGCCCUGACACUGAGACGCGAAGGCGUGGGGAGGCGAACGGG
rnacentral:rRNA from 1 species